rnacentral:misc_RNA from 1 species
GCAGCAGGGUGGCCGCGACGGCCCGGAAGUCGGCAUUGAGCGGGACGGCGGCGAGCGACAGCGACGUGAGGCGACCGCCCCUGCAGCCGGCGCCUGGGAACCUGCAGGCGCCAUCGCUGGCGCUCCACCCGCGCAGGUCCGGGGCCUGGCUAGGCACGGCCUCCUUGAACUGCUCCAGCAGCUGGGCAUCGUCGCCGUCGGAGGCGGUGGCCGCCACGACGACGACGAAGAGUGCCACUACAGCGACCAGCACCAGCCCCGGAGAUUCCAUGAGCUAGCGCGCUACCUUAUAAAACCAUUAAAGAAGCGGGACGGCGACGGGGGAGGAGCCGACGAGAUGGUACGGGAGGGAGGGAGAGGUGGGGAGGAGAUGGUGAGUGCAGGAGGGAGGUGGGGGAGUGUGGAGAAUGGGCUGCUAU